UUGUACAUGUACAGUGUUGCUUAUUUUUCUCACUUUCUGAUUCAAUGCAUGCAUUAAGCCUUACUCUGCUCGCCUCCUUCUGCUCCAUACACACACACUUGAGAUGUCAGAAAUUCAGACUAUCAUAGCAUUUACAUUACAAACUUACCUAGUCAGACUGGCCAAUAUUAUGUUUUGAUAAGUUAACGUUGUUAUUUAGAAAACA
rnacentral:lncRNA from 1 species